rnacentral:rRNA from 1 species
GAUUAUGGCUCAGGAUGAACGCUAGCGGCAGGCUUAACACAUGCAAGUCGAGGGGCAUCGGGAGUAGCAAUACUUGCCGGCGACCGGCGCAAGGGUGCGUAACGCGUGAGCAACAUGCCCGUAUCAGGGGGGAUAAUCCAUGGAAACGUGGUCUAAUACCCCAUAGUAAUUAUGUAAGGCAUCUUAUAUAAUUUAAAGCUUUGGUGGAUACGGAUUGGCUCGCGUGACAUUAGCUAGAUGGUAAGGUAACGGCUUACCAUGGCUACGAUGUCUAGGGGUUCUGAGAGGAAGGUCCCCCACACUGGAACUGAGACACGGUCCAGACUCCUACGGGAGGCAGCAGUGAGGAAUAUUGGACAAUGGAUGGAAAUCUGAUCCAGCCAUGCCGCGUGCAGGAAGACGGCCCUAUGGGUUGUAAACUGCUUUUGUAUGGGAGCAAUAAGGGCUACGUGUAGUCCGAUGAGAGUACCAUACGAAUAAGCACCGGCUAACUCCGUGCCAGCCGCUGC